rnacentral:tRNA from 1 species
GAAUUGUGGCUCAGCGGUAGAGCGCUCGCUUAGCACGGGUGGGACCCGAAUUCGAUUCUCAGCACCA